CAUUCAGUCUCGCGCUGCAUCUUUGAUUGUGCAUGCAAUGCCUCUCUUGUGUUGCUCUUUGCUUGACAGCCUCUGCCGAGUACUCUUCAGGGGAGAUACUGUUCCUCAAUCGCGCUCUUGAUCCUUCCCCUUUUCUUUCUGUUUGUCAUAUUUUGUGUGUUUUUUAGUUGAGUGAAAUUGAAUUAGCAGACCAUAUUCCCGCAGGGGAUAAAAUUUGGUUUCGAGGUUUUCACACAUUUGGUGAGCAUGGAGUUCAGUCUUCUUUUUAUCAAGCAUAGCUGUUGGAUCUAUUUAUAUAUAACAUCCCCAUUUGCGACAUGAAACUUUGUCGGAGAUGAUUUGACUGCCAGAUAUCCUAACUUAUGGUUCUAAAUAGAUCUUUUUCUCAACCGCUAUACAAGGGGAUUCGUGUUCAUUUUUCUUCUAAUUAAAAUUAUCAAACUGUCUCGUUUGAUUUAUUAUUGCCUUUGAAGGCACGGAUUUUGCAGCAUCUGGGUGGUCUAUUGUGAGAACCGAAUUGGUUUAGGUCCUGAUUGAAUCUGUAUGAAUGUCAUGAGGUUCAUCAACAUUAUUCAGGUUCAAGUUUCCCGCUGAUUAUUUUAAUUAAUAAAAUUGCUCGCAUGAAAUGUAUGGAGUUAUUCAGCCGUUGUGACAGGUGCUUGGUUCAGUUUGGAGGGAUCUCUUCAGCUAAGUGUGUCACGUGAAGAUGGUAUAGGAUUCAGUGAUUAAAGAAUUCAAGUUUGUCAAGUGAGUGAAAGCAGAGGUUACGAUCUAUUGCGAUCAUGUUUGAUGGAGUUG